CUCGCUGCUAAGCUAUCGCUGCCAACCUAUCUAUCGCUGCCAACCUAUCUAUCGCUGCCAAUUUAUCUACCACUGCCAAUCUAUCUAUUGCUGCUAAUCUAUUGCUGCUGCCAAUCUAUCUAUCGCUGCUAAUCUAUUGCUGCUGCUAAUCUAUCUAUCGCUGCUAAUCUAUCGCUGCUAAUCUAUCGCUGCUAAUCUAUCGCCGCUGCCAAUCUAUCCCUCACUGCUAAGCUAUCCCUCGCUGCUAAGCUAUCACUGCCAAUCUAUCGCUGCUAAUCUAUCGCUGCCAACCUAUCUACCGCGGCGAAUCUAUCUAUCGCUGCCAAUUUAUCUACCACUGCCAAUUUAUCUACCACUGCCAAUCUAUCUACCACUGCCAAUCUAUCUAUUGCUGCUAAUCUAUUGCUGCUGCCAAUCUAUCUAUCGCUGCUAAUCUAUUGCUGCUGCUAAUCUAUCUAUCGCUGCUAAUCUAUCGCUGCUAAUCUAUCGCUGCUAAUCUAUCGCUGCUAAUCUAUCGCUGCUAAUCUAUCGCUGCUAAUCUAUCGCUGCCAACCUAUCUACCGCGGCGAAUCUAUCUAUCACUAUCAUUACUAGUUCAAAAUAGAACUAGAGCAUAAAUACACUAAACUUCUUUUGAUAGGUAAUGAUUUUUGGUAACGCUCAUAGCAUUAUAUCAUCUAUAUAGGGUAAAUCAUGGUCCCAUUUGGUCCCAUUUUAACAAAAUGGGACCAAAUGGGACCAGAAUCAGUAACUUAUAAGAAGAACAUGACCUGGGACUAGAUUUAUAAUAUAAACAGUGUAAAGUGACUAAUUUAAUAAACACUAUA
rnacentral:sRNA from 1 species